rnacentral:rRNA from 1 species
AUACGGAGGGUCCGAGCGUUAUCCGGAAUCAUUGGGUUUAAAGGGUCCGUAGGCGGGAAUCUAAGUCAGUGGUGAAAUCUUACAGCUCAACUGUAAAAUUGCCAUUGAUACUGGAUUUCUUGAAUUAGUGUGAAGUGGUUAGAAUGUGUAGUGUAGCGGUGAAAUGCAUAGAUAUUACACAGAAUACCAAUUGCGAAGGCAGACCACUAACACUAUAUUGACGCUGAGGGACGAAAGCGUGGGGAGCGAACAGGAUUAGAAACCCUAGUAGUCC